UCAAACUUGGUCAUUUAGAGGAAGUAAAAGUCGUAACAAGGUUUCCGUAGGUGAACCUGCGGAAGGAUCAUUAGCCAUUGGUGGGGGAGACUAUUCUCCUGCAUGUUAUGUAUGGGGGAGACUAUUCUCCUGCAUGUGUAAUCACACACAUUUACGCUUGCGUGUCUUGACAGGUUGAUAGUGAUGAUAUACCAUUACUUUUAUUGCUUUUAUUGCUUUUAACAAUGGAUCUCUGGGCUCCUGCAUCGAUGAAGAACGCAGC
rnacentral:misc_RNA from 1 species